CCCUUGCUCGCUGCUGCUGCCACGUAAGAAGUGUGUUGCUUCCCCUUCGUCUUCCACCAUGAAUAACAGAAUGGCAAUUUUCGUGUGGUGUUAAUUUCCGUGGAAGAAGAAAAGGCUCGACUCUCUGUCCUAUUUUUCAUGAAUACUGGAAGUAGGGAAUAAACCUGGAGUCUCACGGGUGAAAAGAGACAUUUCCAUAUCACCAGACCACAAACGUGGGUGUUGAUUCUAAGGAUACCCCCAAUAAACAUCUUUCGUGCUAAAGCCCAUUCCAGAAUUUACUUCCCAGCUAUCUUUGAUGUUCAUAUUGUCAGAGGUGGUGGCCGCUGAAACAGGCAAAGACAUGGAGCAUAUCUUGGGUCCAGGUAAAGGAGGUGGGUGCACACAAGUGAAAAGAUGUUGCUGAAGUCACGUGGCUUCAAGCAGUAGAGCUGACUGUCCUCUAGUCCAGUUGUCCCUACAGGAUAAAAGCUUCUCUCCAUUACAGAGACCUUGGGAGUCCAGAGGAAGGUCUUUUUACCAUCAGCAUUCUCUACUGUGUUCAAUGACUGUCAGCCAAAGAUGGCCAGGUUCUCUACUGUGAUGGUGAAUUUUAUGUGUCAAUUUGACUGGACCAUGGGAUGCCCAGGUACUUGGUGAAACAUUUCUCUGAGGAUGUCUCUGGCUUUCCUUCAGAAAGAAAUGCAUUCAAAGAACCUACAUUCACAACAUAAAGAAAUAAAGCACACACAAGACCGCCAAGCAUUAAGAUUCUCCUGUGGAGCCAGGCUACAAUCCUUUAAAUGAAGACAGACAGCUAGGUGGCUGCAGCCCAGCGCUACACCUCACCCCUCCCUCAGUGUCAUGCAGAAAAAAUGUAUUCAGAACUCAGAAGUGAAGUUGUGCAAAUCCAUCAUUGACACUAGCUUCAAGGUUACCUCGGGGGAGCAGAAUGUACCCCUGCCAGAGAGCUGGAUAGAUGAUGAUGGGGACAGAAAUUCUGGGGGAGUUGUAAAUGGCAGCCACUGCCUCUAUAGGAAACCCAAAGGGAACACAGCAGAAGAGGAGGUGGUGGAGGAGCCACUGCCCUCUCGAAGGGUUCAAUGUCAUUCUGCAGACACAACCAAAUAACUUUUUCUUCCCUGCUGCUCCUCCAUUUGAAAUGACAGCCCCGAGCUCGCUUUUUCCUUGAUUGUGUAACUCUGAUUACAGACAAGGCCAAGGCAAUCCCAGGGCAUUACUACAAAGCUAAGGGGUCCCCAAAGAACUAAAGAGUCAGCUCCACAAAAAUCCCGAUUCCUAGCAUGAAACUGAAAUAUGAAACCAAACGGGCAUAGAAAAGGUAUGUGCAUUCGAAUCACAUAGCAGUGACUGGAGUCCUGAGCUGUGUCUGAAGACUGUGAGAUCACGUUUGGAGCUGCUGAUUGGUUUUCAGUGAUGGCCCUGUUGCACAGUGCCGUGAGACUUAGCUCCAUGGCCAAAGACGAUGGUAUCCCCUAGGAGCCCUGUGAGGUUGCUGCUGUUCUCUUAAGACACCAGGUAGCCAUCUGAUCCUCCCUGAGCAAACUAACUGGGCAGACAGGUUUAUUAAACCUCUGUUGGUCCGACUUACAUGAAACAAGAGAGUUAUUUUGUUGUUGUUGUUUUGUUUUGUUUUAAAUUAAACCUGUCUUUGGAGCCUCCUGCUCUUAGUUUACAAGUCUUCUUUGCACACUCUAAUAUUUUAAGAAGCAGCAAACAUUAACUGAGGGUCUA
rnacentral:lncRNA from 1 species